AUGAUUUUUAUAAUAAAUAAUUCUUUGCGACGGUAAAGUGUUAUUUAUUUAAAUUUUUUUUUUUGGGCUUGCAAAAUUGUUGUUGCAAAAAGUAGUUUAUGCUUUGCCAUCGCAAAAAAUAUUUGCCACCACCAUAUUUGCGUCCCCCAUUUGUGGUUGCUUGGCAGUCGCAAAAGGUCAUUUGUGACUGCAUUUUCAUUAUUUGUGACGGCUUGUGACGGUUGCAAAAAGUACUUUUUUUAGUAGUGUGGCUAUCAGUGUGUGCUUGAAACUAGUGUCUACAAAGGCGAUUUUGCAACUAUAUUUUUGAUUUCUGGCUUUUCUUUUCAGUGUUUUUAUAAGAAUUGUUGUUAAUUUGUUUUGAAAAAUAGUUGAAUCUAAAGAGAAAAAUAAGAAGGAAAAUUUGGGCCAGUGAAAGAAAAUGUUGACAUUGAACCUCAAUAUGAUUAUUUUGUCUCAGAAGAUGAUUCAGGAACUAACACUGAGCAAAAGAGCAGUUUAACAUUGAAGGCAAUGAAUGGGGUCAAUGCCCUUGUGGUGGUGACCCGAUUGUUGCUUCCAUUUCAUUACUGAUAAGCAUAAUAUGCAGAAGCAACAUGCUGCAUCUGAGCUGCUUUCAAACAUAGAAAGGAUGGCGGAUAAAAGAUUCAGUAGAUCAACUCAGGCCCACAACAUUACCUCUCCAACUGCAAUGGUCAACUUGAACCUGACUUCAUCAACUCGGCCCAAAAUUCAUACAUCUGGUUUUGAGCAGGCAAUGGAAACUUUCCUUGCAAAUAUUUCAGUAAAGAGGAAGGCAUGGCACCAACUUCAACCAACCCAAUCUCAUCCGGAGCAAAUAAAAUGCUUUUGCAAGAGCACAAGGACGCUUGAUAUGAUUAUCAACAAUACUCCAUGAAGGCAAGAGGCAAACCAGAAAAACAGAAGCGCACAGUUACAAUUGAUGAAAUGGUGGGAGGAAGAAAGGAAAGUAUUCUGUGGACGAGCAGACUCAUUCAUUGCCCUCAUGCAUCUUGUCCAAGGUUUCUGCAUUUAGCUUGUUAUUACACAUGGCCAGAGCCAUUUGAAGCUGGUUUUGACAAAUAUGAAAAUUUUAAAAUAUGAUUUGUACUCGUACCUUGAUUCACUCUGCUAGCAAGUUGUUCAUUCCUAGCUCUCUGAUAGAAUUAGAAAUCUCAUUGACAUCUGAUGAUUGUAUUGCUUCGUAGUCCAGGGAGUCCAUAGUAAUAACUGAUGUACCCUUUUGUGACUAAACUUACCACCUUUUGCAUGGAGGGAGCAUUAGUAGCUUCCGAACUAGGGCAGGAUACCCUCCUUUCUAGGAUUGUAUUAUUGCCUCUUUGAAUGAUUUAGUGAAUCCUAGGUCUGACUUCUAAAUUAGGACAGGGCAGCCCUACCUGCCAAAUAGGCAUGAAUGCAAAUUAUGUGCUUAUGUGAUAUUUUGGAAAUGAUUUGAUUUGAUUCCAGCGAUCUAACAACGAGAAAGACAGUGAUUUCAUUCCCAAAAUCUGGGGAGUUUGACGUGGCAGUGAUUUGAUUCUGUUUCAAUUCGAGUUAUUUGGGGGCAAUGAUGCAGUUACAAAGAUUUGGGGGUUCAAUUUAGGCAGUGAUUCCUAUUUGGAUCAUGAUUUGAGUAAUCAGUUGUAAAUUAGGGGGGUGGUUUCCCAAUUUUAAAGAAUUUGAGUCUGAAUUUGGGUUGUUACCUUAGUGAUCACAGAAGAAGAGGAAAAAGAAAGGAAUGAUUGCGUUUUUAAAAUUUAAAUCCCCCAGAAAACAUGUUAUUAAAGAAUAACUUCUAAAAACAAAAAAGGAACUUUUCAGCCUAA